CAAUAGUUGGUUUAAUAAAAAUUUUAAUUUUGGAGAUUAAAGAUAAGUAAGUCGCUUACUAUUGA
rnacentral:tRNA from 1 species